GACAGAGGAUGCAAGCGUUAUCCGGAAUGAUUGGGCGUAAAGCGUCUGUAGGUGGCUUUUUAAGUCUGCCGUCAAAUCCCAGGGCUUAACCCUGGACAGGCGGUGGGAACUACCAAGCUGGAGUACGGUAGGGGCAGAGGGAAUUUCCGGUGUAGCGGUGAAAUGCGCAGAUAUCAGGAGGAACACCGGUGGCGAAGGCGGCAUCCUGGACCGGCAUUGACGCUGAGGAGCGAAAGCUAGGGGAGCAAACGGG
rnacentral:rRNA from 1 species